rnacentral:rRNA from 1 species
ACGCUGGCGGCGUGCUACACAUGCAGUCGAACGAACGACCGGAGCUUGCUCUGGGAGUUAGUGGCGCACGGGUGAGUAACACGUGGAUGAUCUGCCCAUCAGUUCGGAAUAACAGUUGGAAACGGCUGCUAAUACCGGAUACGAUCUUUUUUCGCAUUAAGGUGAAAGGGGGCCUCUGCAUAUGCUUCCGCUGAUGGAUGAGUCCGCGUCUCAUUAGGUAGACGGUGGGGUAACGGCCUACCGUGCCGACGAUGAGUAGCCGGCCUGAGAGGGUAAUCGGCCACACUGGGACUGGAACACGGCCCAGACUCCUACGGGAGGCAGCAGUGGGGAAUAUUGCGCAAUGGGCGAAAGCCUGACGCAGCGACGCCGCGUGAGGGAUGAAGGCCUUCGGGUCGUAAACCUCUGUCAGGAGGGAAGAACAAGCAUGGUUCUAAUCAGCCAUGCCCUGACGGUACCUCCAAAGGAAGCACCGGCUAACUCCGUGCCAGCAGCCGCGGUAAUACGGAGGGUGCGAGCGUUAAUCGGAAUCACUGGGCGUAAAGCGCGCGUAGGCGGCUUUGUAAGUCAGAGGUGAAAUCCCACGGCUCACCCGUGGAACUGCCUUUGAUACUGCAUUGCUUGAGUGUGUGAGAGGAUAGCGGAAUUCCAGGUGUAGGA